rnacentral:rRNA from 1 species
UUUUUAACUUCUACACCUAAAAAUAAUCUUAAUCCAACAUCGAGGUCGCAAUCCUUUUUAUCGAUAUGUUCUCUCUAAAAAUAUUACGCUGUUAUCCCUUAAGUAACUUAAUCUUAUAAUCAUUAAUAAUGGAUCAAAUCAUUAAUCUAUGAAAAAAAGUUUUUUAAAUUUUCCUAUCACCCCAAUAAAAUAUUAUAUUAAGCUUUAAAGGGUCUUCUCGUCCUCUAAUUCUAUUUAAGCUUUUUAACUUAAAAAUUAAAUUUUAAAACAAUUAAAAUAAGACAGUUAAUAUUUCAUUCAAUCAUUCAUUCCAGCUUCUAAUUAAGAAACUAUUGAUUAUGCUACCUUUGCACAGUCAAAAUACCGCGGCCU